rnacentral:rRNA from 1 species
AACGAACGCUGGCGGCAUGCCUAACACAUGCAAGUCGAACGAGACCUUCGGGUCUAGUGGCGCACGGGUGCGUAACGCGUGGGAACCUGCCCUUAGGUUCGGAAUAACUCCCCGAAAGGGGUGCUAAUACCGGAUAAUGUCUUCGGACCAAAGAUUUAUCGCCUUUGGAUGGGCCCGCGUUGGAUUCGCUAGUUGGUAGGGUAAAAGCCUACCAAGGCGACGAUCCAUAGCUGGUCUGAGAGGAUGAUCAUCCACACUGGGACUGAGACACGGCCCAGACUCCUACGGGAGGGAGCAGUGGGGAAUAUUGGACAAUGGGCGAAAGCCUGAUCAAGCAAUGCCGCGUGAGUGAUGAAGGCCUUAGGGUUGUAAAGCUCUUUUACCCGGGAUGAUAAUGACAGUACCGGGAGAAUAAGCUCCGGCUAACUCCGUG